CCCACUCCACGCCGCCACCCCCUUGACCUAACCUCCAUCCCUUUUAGAAAGAAAUAAGGAAAGAAACAGGAGAAAAAGGGAAAGGAACAUAGAACAGAGAGGGAAGAAGAGAGGGAAAGCCGCGCUUCCACUUUGCCGUUAUCACGCUGCCGCCAUGGUUCCGAAGAGCUGCUGUGCGAGGAGCCCUAGUCCGUUCACGAGCCGCUGUCAUGCACGAGAAGGGGAGAGAGAUCGGGCAGAGAGAGAGACGCGAGGAGGAAGAAGAGAUUCGUGCUGCCAGUUGUGCCGCCACCGCCGCGGAAAGGUGGCCAUUGUUGUGCUGGCCAUCAUCGUUGUCUGAGACUGUCCACGUCGCCGUUGCCUUGCGCCAGUCGUUGUUGAGGCCGUCGCUGUCACUAAAAUGGGGAUUUGUGAAGGGAAUCGUGACGGGAAGAAGAGGAAGCUACCUUCGUCGCCGCCUACGUCGCGCCCUACCACCGUCGCGGAGCUUCCACAGCCACCGCGUUUCACCGCUGUCGAGGUUGUCCCCACCACCGAACCUUGGUCCAUGCUACUCCCACUGUACGUGAGAGGAAGAAGAGUGAUGAGACAGAACACGGCUGAGGAAGAGAAGGGGGUUGUCGUCGCUGCCGGAAUUCUUGGGCGCCGUCGUCGUUCUUGCUUGCCAUAAGAGAAAACAAGAUGCCGCCACCAUAUUUCAACUUGGCCAACAUCAUCCUCCUUGUUCUGAUUCCAAUUUCUCCAAUUUUUGAAACCGUCAAGUAUUUACAUUGGUGCUGCCUUGGGACUGUUGAAGCUAUGACUGGUUCUGUAGUAGGUUGUUGCUGCCACCAUUGUUGGUUUAUGGUAGAAUAAUGAGGCUGCGAUGUUGAGGGUGCAGUCCAGCCUGCUGUCUCGCCAUAAUUCUGGCUUUGGUUUCUUUUAAUUGCUACAUCGAGGUAGGGGCAUUUUCAUUAAACUCAUUUUUAUUCUUAAGAAUUGUUAUAAAUUGAUAUUUAAGCAAAUAAAUAUUUUUGGUGAUUAUGGAGUCUUAUGAAUCGAACUAAAUUGCCUUGAAUGAAUGUGAUUGCUUACUUGACUGUGGCUAUUUCUGAAUACUAAGUUGUAUCGAGAUAUUGAGUGAAAGAUUAAUUUGAAAAUCUGAUUUGAAUGUUUAUCAAGUAUAAUUUGAGAAGUCGAAAAUGAUUCGAUGUUAGAAUUAAUUUGAGUUUGGAAAAUGGCUUGAGGUUUGUGAAUGACUCGGAUUUGAAACCAUUGGAAAGGGUUAAAGUAAAUGUUAGUUGGCUUUGUUGGAAAUGAAUUGAGAUCUGGAAAGGAUUAUAAUAUUGGAAAUGAGCUUGAUUUGUUGAAAAAUGAGUUUAAAUUGAAAAUUGUCUGAAAUAUUGAAAUUGAUAUGAUUUUCAAAUUAAACUGAAAGGAGUUUGAGAAAUAGUUUUGUUGGGACACGAAAAGGGUGGCAGAAUCCGAGUUUUAGAGGAGAUGCUGCCAAAAUUUUAUAAAAUUAGAAGUUUCAUUUGAAGUAGUUAUUUUAAAAGGUUUAAUUUUAAGCAUUAUAUGGUUUAAGAUUACUUUAUUUAUCAAAGGAAGAGUUAUGUUUUGGAUAGGGAAUUGUUAAUGAACGGAAUGGAAAGAAGGAUCAUGAGGAUUUUCUUUGAAAUAUGAUUUUGAAUGAAUUUGGAAAUGAGAUAUAGAUUGAUGAAUGAUGAUAAUGUUGAGAAUGACUUAGACAUUGAUGAAUGUUGAAUGAACUAUUUACAUGGCUUGUGAAAUUGAAUUAUCUGAGAUACGAGUUUCCCUGGAUAAACGCAGUAGCUUGCCACCACUUGCUCCAGGUUGAAAACUCAAUACUCUGUUGACCCUACGACGUAAAUGUGACCGGGCACUAUAUAAAUUCCCGGGAAUGUAAUCCCUAUUGAGAAAUAUUGAUUAAUUGAGAAAAACUAUAUAGAGACUCUUGGGGAUGCACGUCGGGAGACAGUCUAAGUAUUUUCAGACAUGUCGGGUUGGCUGGAUAACUAACACAUGAGCCUCAUCAGCCAUAGGACAGGCAUGCAUCAUAUUCAUUUGUAUGCUUUGCUUGGGUUUUACCUUGUUUUGGCUUGCCUAAUUGUUAAACUGUUCUUAACUGCUACCUGAACUAUUUGCUGUAACUGCUAUCUAAACUUGUGCUUUCCUUGUCUGUCUUGCCUAUGUUUGUCCCGAUGUGCUACAUUUGAGAAUGAACUUUGGUGCUGAAUUGAUGUUUGUGUUGAUUGAUUGCGUGGUUGGUUUUUGAUUGAGAUUUUCUUAUAAGAAAAGAAAGAUUUUGGAUUUCUGAAAAGUUAAACAUUGUUUCAUUGAAAAGGUUUUGAAUGAUUAGCUAUUGGUUUUUAAAAGGAUUCAUAAGACAAUGAUAAUCACUGAGCUUGAAAACAGUUUUCUUAUUAAAUAUCUUCUUAUGACAAUUCUAAAACUCCGUGGUGAGACCGUGUGGUUAGGUUCUCAUCCCCUUACAGCUUUAUCUUUUUAGGAGACGGGUGGCGAGACUUAUGAAGAGCUUUAUUGUGUUUUGUUGACUCGAUGUUAUUGUUUUAGUUAAUAGUUACUUUUUCCCUCGCCUUUAUCUUUACGAGUUUUUAUAAGAGGGAUAGGGAUUUGAUUAUGUAAUGCUUGUAAAGCUAUUAAUAUAUAUAUAUAUAUAUAUAUCCUUUGUAAGUAUUCAUAUUUGUAUGGAUGUAUGAUAUCUUUAGAAAGUCUUUUGGGUAGUAACACGACUUAAGUUUUAAACAGGCUCAUAUUUUAGUAUUAAAAUAUUGCAAGAGUGGUUGUAAUACCCGAGCUAUCAGAGUGGCGCAGCCGGAAGCGUGACAUUUUGAUGGUUAGGGUGUUACAUUAUGGUAUCCGAGCAGUUUAUCUUGAUUAAAGCCUUGGAAAUUAACUGACUAUGCUUCAUUGCACACUCUGAGUGUUUGUCAUGUUAUAGGUCUUGUCCGAAUGACGAGAAUUAGAGUUUUAUGCAUAUGACUGUCUUUUGAUUAACGCUGUUAGCUUGCCAUUGCAUAUCUGUUGAUAUUAAGUUUGGCCAGCUUAAUGUUGAUGGUUUAUGUGUACGGUAAAGUUAGUGGGUUAUCAUGGACAAAGUAGAAUUAAUAAAUGAUGUGGUUCAUGGGUUUUCGAAGCGUUAGAAAUUAAUUUUUUUUUAUGUUAGUCCUGUUUUGACAUAUAAUCUUGUUUGUGAUGCAUAGCUUAGUAUACUGUUUUCUCUUUUAUUGGUUAUGUUGGAAUUCCUUCCCUUAGAUCUUCCCUUUUAGAAUAUGAAUCGACUCUCUUCCCGACCACACAUAUUCAUUCCUAAAUAUAUAUAUAUAUAUAUAUAUAUAUAUUUGCUUGAUCUUAAUUCUGAUUAUUCACUUGAAAUCAUUUGGAACCUUUAUCCUUGAUGUUGCUCAUAUUUCUCUUCACGAAUCAUGAGUUUUUCUUUCGAGCUGGUUUUGAACUUGUUUCGCAUGACAAUGGUCUUUAAUUUUUUGAAAAACAUUAGAUGUUAUUCCUUGAUUAGUUUACACCGAAGAUAUGUGCUUUGAUCAUGCCACAUGAUACGCGUGUUGCUUAUUCUUCGAUUUAUCAUCUUUUUCGCUCCUUGUUUCAAUAUUUUUUUUGGAACUUGAUUUGAUUACCUAUCAUUAUCAUUAUUUAUGCAUUUCUUCAUAAAUUAUGUACCCUUUUAUUUGAUCUUAAAUAUGUUUUGGCGUAAUACAUAAUUCUUAAUACUUAAGUGAUUUGAAAUCGUGAGAGUUACAAUUUGUAGCAAGCUAAUUGUGCGAUUUGGUUCUUCUGCUUCGCCUUCUAUAACUUAUGCUUAUUCAGCCCAAAUUACAAUCUUUGAUCCUGUGUUCCUCUAAAUGAACAAAGUAAUCCCCUUGGUAAAAAUUUUGAGUUUGCCUUGAUACGAAAUAACAAUUCUAGUAGUAAUCUUCUGAAGUUCUCGUUUCGGAACCUUCAUUGAAAAGAGUUUUGAUUUGAUCUUUUUUCUAUUAUUUAUCUGAUCUUGUCUGCAACCAUUCUUUGAAUUCUGGAUAUGACCACCUCUGAUCUUACAUGUACUUUCCUACAAGAAAUGAAUAAAUCCUUUAUGUAGCUGAAAACAUACUUAUUUUUAAAGGUACUAUCUAAUAUUUUAUUAACUAUAUAGGAACACUUUACAUUAGCUUCCUUUCUUGAACAUAAUUUGA